UAUAAGACUGGGAUAACUUCGGGAAACCGGAGCUAAUGCCGGAUAACAUUUGGAACCGCAUGGUUCUAAAGUAAAAGAUGGUUUUGCUAUCACUUAUAGAUGGACCCGCGCCGUAUUAGCUAGUUGGUAAGGUAACGGCUUACCAAGGCAACGAUACGUAGCCGACCUGAGAGGGUGAUCGGCCACACUGGAACUGAGACACGGUCCAGACUCCUACGGGAGGCAGCAGUAGGGAAUCUUCCGCAAUGGACGAAAGUCUGACGGAGCAACGCCGCGUGAGUGAUGAAGGUUUUCGGAUCGUAAAACUCUGUUAUUUGGGAAGAACAAAUGUGUAAGUAACUGUGCACAUCUUGACGGUACCUAAUCAGAAAGCCUCGGCUAACUACGUGCCAGCAGCCGCGGUAAUACGUAGGUGGCAAGCGUUAUCCGGAAUUAUUGGGCGUAAAGCGCGCGUAGGCGGUUUCUUAAGUCUGAUGUGAAAGCCCACGGCUCAACCGUGGAGGGUCAUUGGAAACUGGGAAACUUGAGUACAGAAGAGGAAAGUGGAAUUCCAUGUGUAGCGGUGAAAUGCGCAGAGAUAUGGAGGAACACCAGUGGCGAAGGCGACUUUCUGGUCUGUAACUGACGCUGAUGUGCGAAAGCGUGGGGAUCAAACAGGAUUAGAUACCCUGGUAGUCCACGCCGUAAACGAUGAGUGCUAAGUGUUAGGGGGUUUCCGCCCCUUAGUGCUGCAGCUAACGCAUUAAGCACUCCGCCUGGGGAGUACGACCGCAAGGUUGAAACUCAAAG
rnacentral:rRNA from 1 species